rnacentral:rRNA from 1 species
AUGGACGCCAGCCUCCGCACGCUGUCCCCGUCCAGCUUCACGGGGGAGGUGCGCUCCGCGGUGUCCUCCCUCCUGCUCUCCCCCGGCGGCGCCAGCGCCCUCGACACCGUCUUCUCCCACCUCCCGCCCCCGGUCACCAUCCCGCCGCUCGGCUCCAGCGUCUACUACCGCCAGAGCGAGCUCCUCCGCAGCUUCGCCGCCACGCAGCCGCACCACCAUCUUGCCAGCUCCUCGUCGGGCUACGCUCUUCCUUUUCCUGGAACCGCGGCGUCGCACGACGCGGCGGCGGCGGCGGCGGGGAGGAAGAUGUACCGCGGCGUGCGGCAGCGGCAGUGGGGCAAGUGGGUGGCGGAGAUCCGGCUGCCGCAGAACCGGGUGCGCGUCUGGCUCGGCACCUACGACUCGCCCGAGACCGCCGCGCACGCCUACGACCGCGCCGCCUACCGGCUCCGCGGCGAGUACGCGCGCCUCAACUUCCCCGGCGUCAUGGACGGCGCCGACGACGCCCGCUUCCCCGACGCCCUCCGCCAGCUCCGCGACGCCGUGGACGCCAAGAUCCAGGCCAUCCGCGUCCGCAUGGCCCGCAAGCGCGCGCGCGCCAGGCGGCUGCGCGAGGAGGCCAAGCAGCAGCAGCAGAGCAACAACACCCAGCGCGCCGCGUCCGCCGAGGCCGCCCCGGUGGCGCCGACGGCCCCGCGCCCCGUGGUCUCCGAGAGCGCCACGACGUCCGAGACGACGACGUCGUCGUACGGGUCGCCGGAGGGGGUGCUGUCGGCGGCCGACUUCGAGUGCUCGCUCCAGCGGAUGCCGUCCUUCGACCCGGAGCUGAUCUGGGAGAUGCUCAACUUCUAG